rnacentral:rRNA from 1 species
UACGUAGGGAGUAAGCGUUGUCCGGAAUCAUUGGGCGUAAAGAGCGCGUAGGCGGUCCGGUAAGUCGGUUGUGAAAACUGGGGGGCUCAACCCUCAGAGGCCGACCGAUACUGCCGGGCUAGAGUCCGGAAGAGGCGAGUGGAAUUCCUGGUGUAGCGGUGAAAUGCGCAGAUAUCAGGAGGAACACCAAUGGCGAAGGCAGCUCGCUGGGACGGUACUGACGCUGAGGCGCGAAAGCGUGGGGAGCAAACAGG